GAUGAACGCUAGCUACAGGCUUAACACAUGCAAGUCGAGGGGAAACGAUAGAGAAAGCUUGCUUUUUCUAGGCGUCGACCGGCGCACGGGUGAGUAACGCGUAUCCAACCUGCCCAUCACUUGGGGAUAACCUUGCGAAAGUAAGACUAAUACCCAAUGACGUCCAUAGAAGACAUCUGAAAUGGAUUAAAGAUUUAUCGGUGAUGGAUGGGGAUGCGUCUGAUUAGCUUGUUGGCGGGGUAACGGCCCACCAAGGCGACGAUCAGUAGGGGUUCUGAGAGGAAGGUCCCCCACAUUGGAACUGAGACACGGUCCAAACUCCUACGGGAGGCAGCAGUGAGGAAUAUUGGUCAAUGGACGAGAGUCUAAACCAGCCAAGUAGCGUGCAGGAUGACGGCCCUAUGGGUUGUAAACUGCUUUUAUAAGGGAAUAAAGUGGGAGUCGUGACUCCUUUUGCAUGUACCUUAUGAAUAAGGACCGGCUAAUUCCGUGCCAGCAGCCGCCGUAA
rnacentral:rRNA from 1 species